GAUGAACGCUGGCGGCGUGCCUAAUACAUGCAAGUCGAGCGAACGGACGAGAAGCUUGCUUCUCUGAUGUUAGCGGCGGACGGGUGAGUAACACGUGGAUAACCUACCUAUAAGACUGGGAUAACUUCGGGAAACCGUAGCUAAUACCGGAUAAUAUUUUGAACCGCAUGGUUCAAAAGUGAAAGACGGUCUUGCUGUCACUUAUAGAUGGAUCCGCGCUGCAUUAGCUAGUCGGUAAGGUAACGGCUUACCAAGGCAACGAUGCAUAGCCGACCUGAGGGGGUGAUCGGCCACACUGGAACUGAGACACGGUCCAGACUCCUACGGGAGGCAGCAGUAGGGAAUCUUCCGCAAUGGGCGAAAGCCUGACGGAGCAACGCCGCGUGAGUGAUGAAGGUCUUCGGAUCGUAAAACUCUGUUAUUAGGGAAGAACAUAUGUGUAAGUAACUGUGCACAUCUUGACGGUACCUAAUCAGAAAGCCACGGCUAACUACGUG
rnacentral:rRNA from 1 species